AGAGUUUGAUNCUGNCUCAGGACGAACGCUGGCGGCGUGCCUAAUACAUGCAAGUCGAGCGCAUGAANUCAUNNGAUNCUCUUCGGAGGUGACGAUAAUGGAAUGAGCGGCGGACGGGUGAGUAACACGUAGGCAACCUGCCUGUAAGACUGGGAUAACUCGUGGAAACGCGAGCUAAUACCGGAUAACACUUUUCAUCUCCUGAUGAGAAGUUGAAAGGCGGCUUUUGCUGUCACUUACAGAUGGGCCUGCGGCGCAUUAGCUAGUUGGUAAGGUAACGGCUUACCAAGGCGACGAUGCGUAGCCGACCUGAGAGGGUGAUCGGCCACACUGGGACUGAGACACGGCCCAGACUCCUACGGGAGGCAGCAGUAGGGAAUCUUCCGCAAUGGACGGAAGUCUGACGGAGCAACGCCGCGUGAGUGAUGAAGGUUUUCGGAUCGUAAAACUCUGUUGUUAGGGAAGAACAAGUACUAUAGUAACUGAUAGUACCUUGACGG
rnacentral:rRNA from 1 species